GGAAGCCCAAUUUCCUUACCCAGAGGCAACUACUAUUCCUAGUUUCUUUUGUGCCCUUCUAGAAUAUUCUGUGUUUGCUAGAACACACAUGUUUCUCUUUUCCAUUCCGUAUACAGAAGAGUAGACACAGGACUCUGCAGCUUGCUUUCUUCGCAUAAUGGUGUCUCAGUGUCGCUCCCCUGCCUGUGGUAUUCUGUCGUAUGCGGCAGCAGCGUCUACUCAGAGGGCAGCCUUUUAUGCAGUACAAGAAUUGCAUGCAAAGGAGUCAUUUCAUUGUAUGUAAAUCAUUUUCAGAGAAUAUUCAUGCCAUAUAAAAAUGUCAGUGAUAUGUGUAGGAUGUAGAACGUAAAACUGUUUCUCAUGUGAUCCACUUGUCAAAUAAAAUACCAAUGUAACGCAUCAAUAUGUGUGUAUUACCUGGACAUGCUCAAAUGAACGAAUCAGACCAAUCAGUCCUGAAUAUUCGCUAGAAGGACUGAUGCGGAAGUGGAAGCUCCCAUACUUUGCCCACCUGAUGUGAGGAGCCGGCUCAUUGGAAAAGACCCUGAUGCUGGCAAAGACCGAAGGCAGGAGGA
rnacentral:lncRNA from 1 species